UACGGAGGGUGCGAGCGUUGUCCGGAAUCACUGGGCGUAAAGGGCGCGUAGGUGGCGCGAGAAGUCAACGGUGAAAGCUCGGGGCUCAACCCCGAGUCGGCCGUCGAUACUCGUUGGGCUUGAGCACUGUAGAGGCAGGUGGGAAUUCCGGGUGUAGCGGUGAAAUGCGUAGAUAUCUGGAGGAACACCGGUGGCGAAGGCGGCAUCCUGGUCCAGCACCGACGUUCAGGCACGAAAGCGUGGGGAGCAAACAGGG
rnacentral:rRNA from 1 species